rnacentral:siRNA from 1 species
GAAGUAGGACCCGAUGCACUAGCA